rnacentral:rRNA from 1 species
AUGCCUCUAGACUUCACGAAGCAGUUCCAGGCCGUGCCUCGGGAGUUCAAGCUGAAGACAAACACCGAUUGCGCAUGGAGGGUGACGGUUCGGUUGAUGAACGAAAGGGUCAUCCUCGAUACGGGUUGCCCCUUCGCUGCUGUCCACCAGAUCAAGAUCUGCUACAUAGUCACCUUCAAGUUGCUGACCCCUGACACCCAGAAGGCGAUCGUCUUCAACGACGACGACAUAGAAGUGGUGACCAAGUGCGGGAAGCACGAUGACGCCUUCGCCGUGAACGUCUAG